CGUUGUCCGGAAUCAUUGGGCGUAAAGAGCGUGUAGGUGGCUCGGUAAGUCCGCUGUAAAAGUCCAGGGCUCAACCCUGGAAAGCCGGUGGAAACUGUCGAGCUAGAGUCCGGAAGAGGCGAGUGGAAUUCCUGGUGUAGCGGUGAAAUGCGCAGAUAUCAGGAGGAACACCAAUGGCGAAGGCAGCUCGCUGGGACGGUACUGACACUGAGACGCGAAAGCGUGGGGAGCAAACAGG
rnacentral:rRNA from 1 species